rnacentral:sRNA from 12 species
GAAGGAAAGACACCUAGCCCGUGUUUUGCAUGCCGCUAUAAGCAUGUAAGUUAGUCAAGCCCGAGUACAGGAUAGCCGCUCGGUCAAACUUACAGUAAGUCUUCUUA